rnacentral:rRNA from 1 species
UACAGAGGGGGCAAGCGUUGUUCGGAAUUACUGGGCGUAAAGCGCGCGUAGGCGGUUUUUUAAGUCAGAGGUGAAAGCCCAGUGCUCAACACUGGAACUCGUCCUUGAAACUGGAAAACUUGAAUCUUGGAGAGGUCAGUGGAAUUCCGAGUGUAGAGGUGAAAUUCGUAGAUAUUCGGAAGAACACCAGUGGCGAAGGCGACUGACUGGACAAGUAUUGACGCUGAGGUGCGAAAAGCGUGGGGAGCA